rnacentral:rRNA from 1 species
ACUGAACGCUGGCGGCAUGCUUUACACAUGCAAGUCGAACGGUAACAGGUUAAGCUGACGAGUGGCGAACGGGCGAGUAAUGCAUCGGAACGUGCCCGGUCGUGGGGGAUAACGCAGCGAAAGCUGCGCUAAUACCGCAUACGAUCUGAGGAUGAAAGCGGGGGACCGUAAGGCCUCGCGCGAUCGGAGCGGCCGAAGUCAGAGUAGGUAGUUGGUGGGGUAAAGGCUCACCAAGCCGACGAUCUGUAGCUGGUCUGAGAGGACGACCAGGCACACUGGGACUGAGACACGGCCCAGACUCCUACGGGAGGCAGGAGUGGGGAAUUUUGGACAAUGGGCGCAAGCCUGAUCCAGCAAUGCCGCGUGCAGGAAGAAGGCCUUCGGGUUGUAAACUGCUUUUGUACGGAGCGAAAAGGCUCUCUCUAAUACAGGGGGCUGAUGACGGUACCGUAAGAAUAAGCACCGGCUAACUACGUGCCAGCCGCCGCUGUAA